UACGUAGGGUGCAAGCAUUAAUCGGAAUUAUUGGGCGUAAAGGGCGCGUAGGCGGAUUGAUAAGUCAGAUGUGAAAUACCAAAGCUCAACUUUGGUGCUGCAUUUGAAAACUGUCUUUCUAGAGGAUUGACGGAGAAAGCGGAAUUCCACAUGUAGCGGUGAAAUGCGUAGAUAUGUGGAGGAACACCGGUGGCGAAAGCGGCUUUCUAGUUUAUACCUGACGCUGAGGCGCGAGAGCAAGGGGAGCAAACAGG
rnacentral:rRNA from 1 species